rnacentral:lncRNA from 1 species
CAGGAGGAGAAGUGAAAAAAUAAAUGUGUAUUUAUAUAUUAUAUAUGUAUAGAUUCAUUAAAUGGUGAGCCAUUAUUUAACUUUUUCCCAUCAAUAUUCUCUUUCUUUAGGCACCACAGGUAGAAUUUAGAAUUACAAAUCAAAACUAACAUGCUGGACGAUUGCUUGGCACGUUUGAGUUAGCUUGGUGCUACUUCUAAGUGCUGUUUCUAAGUGUUUAGUUUGAGAUAUUCUGGAGAGUUUUACAGAAGCUUAAACUGUCUAAGAGUUGUGCUAAGAGCUUUCUUUACUACUGUUACAGGUAAGAUUCAUCUGUAGGAAAAGGUUACUGAUUGCCCAAGGUUUGAAUUCCUGUUGGUAAUUAUAAGGCAUUUGAUUUGAUUAAGCUAGUUACUUGCUAUUGAUUGCUGGUUAAUUAGCUAUUGUUUGCAAAUAAGCAGAGGCCUACCCAGGUGUUAAACAUUCCUAGUGGGUGGUGAUUUUAGGAGUUAUAUAAGGCUUGGUGUCAUUAGCUUGUCUAAUAUAGCUUGGUGCUACACCUAAGUGCUGUUUCUAAGUGUGUAGUUGGAGAUAUUCUGGAGAGUUUUACAGAAGCUUCAACUGUCUAAGAGUUGUGCUAAGAGCUUUCUUUUCUACUGUUACAGGUAAGAUUCAUCUGUAGGAAAAGGUUACUGAUUGCACAAGGUUUGAAUUCCUGUUGGUAAUUAUAAGGCAUUUGAUUUGAUUAAGCUAGUUACUUGCUAUUGAUUGCUGGUUAAUUAGCUAUUGUUUGCAAAUAAGCAGAGGCCUACCCAGGUGUUAAACAUUCCUAGUGGGUGGUGAUUUUAGGAGUUAUAUAAGGCUUGGUGUCAUUAGCUUGUCUAAUAUAGCUUGGUGCUACUUCUAAGUGCUGUUUCUAAGUGUCUAGUUGGAGAUAUUCUGGAGAGUUUUACAGAAGCUUCAACUGUCUAAGAGUUGUGCUAAGAGCUUUCUUUUCUACUGUUACAGGUAAGAUUCAUCUGUAGGAAAAGGUUACUGAUUGCACAAGGUUUGAAUUCCUGUUGGUAAUUAUAAGGCAUUUGAUUUGAUUAUUACUUGCUAUUGAUUGCUGUUUAAAUUAGCUAUUGUUUGCAAAUAAGCAGAGGCCUACCCAGGUGUUAAACAUUCCUAGUGGGUGGUGAUUUUAGGAGUUAUAUAAGGCUUGGUGUCAUUAGCUUGUCUAAUAUAGCUUGGUGCUACUUCUAAGUGCUGUUUCUAAGUGUGUAGUUGGAGAUAUUCUGGAGAGUUUUACAGAAGCUUCAACUGUCUAAGAGUUGUGCUAAGAGCUUUCUUUUCUACUGUUACAGGUAAGAUUCAUCUGUAGGAAAAGGUUACUGAUUGCACAAGGUUUGAAUUCCUGUUGGUAAUUAUAAGGCAUUUGAUUUGAUUAAGCUAGUUACUUGCUAUUGAUUGCUGGUUAAUUAGCUAUUGUUUGCAAAUAAGCAGAGGCCUACCCAGGUGUUAAACAUUCCUAGUGGGUGGUGAUUUUAGGAGUUAUAUAAGGCUUGGUGUCAUUAGCUUGUCUAAUAUAGCUUGGUGCUACUUCUAAGUGCUGUUUCUAAGUGUCUAGUUGGAGAUAUUCUGGAGAGUUUUACAGAAGCUUCAACUGUCUAAGAGUUGUGCUAAGAGCUUUCUUUUCUACUGUUACAGGUAAGAUUCAUCUGUAGGAAAAGGUUACUGAUUGCACAAGGUUUGAAUUCCUGUUGGUAAUUAUAAGGCAUUUGAUUAGAUUACUUGCUAUUGAUUGCUGUUUAAAUUAGCUAUUGUUUGCAAAUAAGCAGAGGCCUACCCAGGUG